UAUUGAACGCUGGCGGCAGGCCUAACACAUGCAAGUCGAGCGGUAGCACAGAGAGCUUGCUCUCGGGUGACGAGCGGCGGACGGGUGAGUAAUGUCUGGGAAACUGCCUGAUGGAGGGGGAUAACUACUGGAAACGGUAGCUAAUACCGCAUAACGUCGCAAGACCAAAGUGGGGGACCUUCGGGCCUCAUGCCAUCAGAUGUGCCCAGAUGGGAUUAGCUAGUAGGUGGGGUAACGGCUCACCUAGGCGACGAUCCCUAGCUGGUCUGAGAGGAUGACCAGCCACACUGGAACUGAGACACGGUCCAGACUCCUACGGGAGGCAGCAGUGGGGAAUAUUGCACAAUGGGCGCAAGCCUGAUGCAGCCAUGCCGCGUGUGUGAAGAAGGCCUUCGGGUUGUAAAGCACUUUCAGCGGGGAGGAAGGCGGUGAGGUUAAUAACCUCAUCGAUUGACGUUACCCGCAGAAGAAGCACCGGCUAACUCCGUGCCAGCAGCCGCGGUAAUACGGAGGGUGCAAGCGUUAAUCGGAAUUACUGGGCGUAAAGCGCACGCAGGCGGUCUGUCAAGUCGGAUGUGAAAUCCCCGGGCUCAACCUGGGAACUGCAUUCGAAACUGGCGGGCUAGAGUCUUGUAGAGGGGGGUAGAAUUCCAGGUGUAGCGGUGAAAUGCGUAGAGAUCUGGAGGAAUACCGGUGGCGAAGGCGGCCCCCUGCACAAAGACUGACGCUCAGGUGCGAAAGCGUGGGGAGCAAACAGGAUUAGAUACCCUGGUAGUCCACGCCGUAAACGAUGUCGAUUUGGAGGUUGUGCCCUUGAGGCGUGGCUUCCGGAGCUAACGCGUUAAAUCGACCGCCUGGGGAGUACGGCCGCAAGGUUAAAACUCAAAUGAAUUGACGGGGGCCCGCACAAGCGGUGGAGCAUGUGGUUUAAUUCGAUGCAACGCGAAGAACCUUACCUGGUCUUGACAUCCACAGAACUUUCCAGAGAUGGAUUGGUGCCUUCGGGAACUGUGAGACAGGUGCUGCAUGGCUGUCGUCAGCUCGUGUUGUGAAAUGUUGGGUUAAGUCCCGCAACGAGCGCAACCCUUAUCCUUUGUUGCCAGCGGUCCGGCCGGGAACUCAAAGGAGACUGCCAGUGAUAAACUGGAGGAAGGUGGGGAUGACGUCAAGUCAUCAUGGCCCUUACGACCAGGGCUACACACGUGCUACAAUGGCAUAUACAAAGAGAAGCGACCUCGCGAGAGCAAGCGGACCUCAUAAAGUAUGUCGUAGUCCGGAUUGGAGUCUGCAACUCGACUCCAUGAAGUCGGAAUCGCUAGUAAUCGUAGAUCAGAAUGCUACGGUGAAUACGUUCCCGGGCCUUGUACACACCGCCCGUCACACCAUGGGAGUGGGUUGCAAAAGAAGUAGGUAGCUUAACCUUCGGGAGGGCGCUUACCACUUUGUGAUUCAUGACUGGGGUGAAGU
rnacentral:rRNA from 1 species